AGUGAACGCUGGCGGUAGGCCUAACACAUGCAAGUCGAACGGCAGCACAGAGGAGCUUGCUCCUUGGGUGGCGAGUGGCGGACGGGUGAGGAAUACAUCGGAAUCUACUCUGUCGUGGGGGAUAACGUAGGGAAACUUACGCUAAUACCGCAUACGACCUACGGGUGAAAGCAGGGGAUCUUCGGACCUUGCGCGAUUGAAUGAGCCGAUGUCGGAUUAGCUAGUUGGCGGGGUAAAGGCCCACCAAGGCGACGAUCCGUAGCUGGUCUGAGAGGAGAAUCAGCCACAGUGGAACUGAGACACGGUCCAGACUCCUACCGGAGGCAGCAGUGGGGAAUAUUGGACAAUGGGCGAAAGCCUGAUCCAGCCAUACCGCGUGGGUGAAGAAGGCCUUCGGGUUGUAAAGCCCUUUUGUUGGGAAAGAAAUCCAUCUGGUUAAUACCCGGGUGGGAUGACGGUACCCAAAGAAUAAGCACCGGCUAACUUCGUGCCAGCCGCCGCCGUAA
rnacentral:rRNA from 1 species